CAACACGUCUGAUGAUUCGGUCAUGUACUUGUUGUAGCCCUGGUCGCACUACAAACCGUACACUGUUAGGGCAAAUUUUGAUCUUCAGAAACCCCAAAAGCCAUACCGUGUCAUUUAUCAAAUCAUGUCCUGUUCGCAAAAGGGAAGACUUCCACGGCUUCAUGGGGGCCUCCUCCUCACCUUGUGGCUGUCUCUGGUCUUCCAGUUCUCACCGUCAGAAGCACAGUGCUCCUUACUUUUCCAGAACCAAAAAAAGUCUCAAGCAUUGAUCUCAAGCAACCAGACAAUUGAAGACUUGGAUUCACAUUUGUAUGUACCUCUCCUCCUCCUCCAACCAAAAUAUGUAAUAUAGGCUUUUACCUCGUAG
rnacentral:lncRNA from 1 species